CAGAACAACGACCCUGGUGGGUACGAACAUGUUAAAUUGAAUGUGUUACUCAAAAGGUGGAAGAAAAAAGAAACUUGGGUCAACACCCCGUCCCUGCCUCCACUAGACUGCAAUUGAAAACGGGAGACGGAUGAAUGAUUCGGUCCAGCCAACUUAAACGCCAAUGAAGUUAUCGCCGGUAUAUACCAACUGCGCUCUCUCCUUUGCUUUAAAUAUAAGGACGAAUUCAAUAAACUUGUAUGUAUCUU